ACCAAAACAUACAUCUUUCGUUCAUCUGUUUCAAGAAUAUAUCUACAAUUUUGUGAGAAAGCUUCCGCUUUUCAAAACAGUAUCAAUUGUGAUUGGCGGACAGAAAGGUGUGUUCUUGUGGCUUGUGCGGACGCGAUUAAGGAAGGCAAUAUUUAGUUUUCCACAGUUUUUACAAUUUAUUCGGUUUGUCUAGCUGAUCUGCGGCUAAUGCGGUUGUGACAUAAGAAUAAAAUAUUUUGAAUAACGUAAAUAAUCGCAAAAUCUGUAGCCUCUGGAAAAACUGGCUAAUACGUAUUUUUAGUUUAGCAAAUUUUGUUAAAAAUAAACACAAAUAAGUGACGUAAUAUUUUCCCCGUGAAAAGAGCUUUCGGCAGUGCGGGAGCGAGAGCAUAAAUGAAAGAGGAGAAAUGAGCGGAUUUUGAAAUUUGUUAUGAAAUUUGCACUUGCGGGUCGUGCAUGUAAAUAAAUACAAAUUUCUUUUGUUUACAAUUUUAUGUUUAUAAACAAAUGAAAGUCACGUGUGUAGCUACAUCAUAAACAACAAAUAAGUACACAUCCGCAUACAUAUGUAAGCAUGUGUGUGUAUGUAGUAUGAAAAGUGUUGACUUAAGCCAUCAUUGAUUAAUGAAUUACUGCUGAUUUCUUACAAUCGAGUUACUCCUUGGGUACUUCACUAUUUUGAUUAUGUCGAAAAAGUGCGGUGUUCGUUCGCUGAGCGAUAGCGCUUUGGCCGAGUUGGCCAACCAGAUUGUGUCGACGAUCGGCUAUGCCAAGUACGCCCCCGAUGUUGUACUGGACAUUGACAUCGUGAUGGUCGACAUCAACCAAUACCUCGAGCAGACGGGCGCCACCUGGAAUAUUUACCAAGACCUGUUGCGCGUCAUACUCAGCUCCGAUUAUCUGGACGCCAAUAUGCGUUUCACCUGCUUGCAAAUGCUGCUCAACGGCAGCGUAUCGUUCUUAGUAACCGAAGUCUUUCCCUUUUCCUACUAUGAAAAGAUUCUGCAAGUGAUUGCCGCACAGGGUACCGGCCUGCGCGUGCUCAAUUUGAAGGGGGUGUGGGUCAAGGAGGAGCACAUGCAUUACCUUUUCGAAAUCGUGCGCAAAUGCACGCAUCUAACCAAGUUGUUUGUGCCCUACAUCGCUAAUGAUGAUCUCUUGGAGGUGAUUGCCAAGCACUGCCGGCAGUUGCAGGUGUUGGACAUCUCUGGCGAGACGGAUAUCACUGAAAUCGGCGUUGAGUUUCUUAGUCACGGCAUGUGCAGCGAGAAACUAACGGUUGUGGAUAUCGGCAUGCCUGGUGAGGAGAACAUUUGUUACUCGGAUAUUUCACUUAUAUUGGAGCACUGUCCCAAUGUGGAGACGCUCUCCACUUACUCGUUUGUUGGCGCUUCGCUGAAGUUUGUGCAUGACAACAUUGACGAGGAUUUCCGGUGCAAGCUGCGCUACUUACACGACACUGGCACAGAUGAGGAGACGCUGCGUGUGAUUGUUAAGACAUGCCCACACUUGGAAUCGCUUUAUCUGGACACGCCCAAGCCGGGUGCACUACCAGUACUUGGCAAUAUAUUUUUGCGAAAGUUAAAAAUCUAUAAAUUUUCCUGCGUUGAAGUGAUGGAGGUGCUCGAUAAAAUCGGCCGAAAUCUCAGCCACCUGACCAUGAUUAAGGGUGUCGGGCAUUUGGAAAUAAGUAAACUAGUGCGCAUUUGUCCAAUGCUGAUUGACUUGGACUGCUAUAUGAUGGACGGGCUGUCCUACACAAAGGAUGUCAACCGGUUUGAGUGUUUGGAAGGCUUGGAAAUGCUCAGUAGCCCUAUGUCGAAUGCCUCACUGAAGAUGCUUAUAUGCAGUUGCAGACAGCUGAAGCGCUUGGCUGUGGACAGUAUUAACUUCACGGAUGAAGAUAUUGUAAACAUAUUUGUGGAGCAUGAUUUCAAUGAACUGGAGGACAUCUGGUUUACAUUGGCGCCAAAUUUGACGGUUCAAUCAAUUGAGAUUCUUAUGGAUCGCUGUCCGGAACUGCAAACCGUUGGACAACUGAGUGGAUGGUCGUUGACUCCAGAUGAUUUGGCGUUGAUACGAGGGCUACUGAAGAGCGGAAAUUCCUGUCUUGUACUUACACCCAAUGGCUUUUUCCCUUGAACCACUAAUUCGUACUAAAUUGCACGCAUAUGAACUAAUGAAAAUCUGCAGUCGCGGGAAAAUGUUGAAUAUUGCAGUAAUUUAAAAACGAUUGCAGUAAAGACUAUCGGAAUGGAAAAAGUUUCAAUCAUACGAACUUACGUGGGCACUUUGCUUGGAUGUAAUUUUGGGCGCAUAUAAAAUCUAAGCCUAUUAAAAAUGUGAUAGUAAAUUAAAUUUAAAGUCUAUGUAAUUAAAAAGUGAUAAAUGGAAAAUGUAAGCAUGGAAGCAUGGAAAAUAAAAGAAAGCAAUACUUAAAUUCCGCGAAAUUUUCAUUU